GCUUGAUUUAUUUUCAAAUAAAUAUGAUUGAUAAUAAUAAUGUUCCGUCAAUUUUUGUGAUGGUUAGUAAUAAAUAAAGUAAUAAAUAAUGAAAGUAUUAAUUGUUCAUAGAAUAUAAAAUUUGAAUAUGAAAUUAAGUAUCUCAAACAUAAUGAAAUUACAUAAUGAAAGUAUAUGUAUAAGUUUAUGAUCAUUUCAAUCAUGAUCAUAUUGUUAUUUGCGACCAAAAUAUAAAAUCAUGCCAUCAUUUAUAAUGUCUUAUAUAAUAUAUAGAUUUUUCUUGGAUAAGGACGAAUAAUGAUGAAUACUUAUGAUCAUAUUUUCAAAAUAUUUAAACCAUUGGCUAUAUACAAAGCAAUUUUUACGAUUUAUUAAGCGAUUUAUCACCAUUUUUUCGUAGAUUGCAAAGUUCGAGUGUUUUCACUAGAGAUUCCUUCGAGAAUUUUUUAUACAAAUUUUUCUCAAGAUAAAUGGAAUUCUAGAUUUUAAAAAUGUAUUAAAUUUUAUUUUUAAAUUAAUUAAAAUGAAAAUCGUUAAAAAAGAGAAGAGGAAAAUGAACAAUUUUAGCAAUUUUUAUAGCGUGAACAAUUACGAAUGAAGAUUGCACAAAAAUGAAAGAAAACAAUACAGAUGUAGAAAAAAAAAGGAUAGAAACACGGAUGAUGGUAUUUCAUUCAAAGCGUUUUCAUUUUCACAAAAUUUAUGAUUGUUCUAUGUCUUGUGAAUUUGCCGUACCGAGACGGUGGUAGCUGUACAAGAAUUGGCUCGAUUCCGCAAGAAGGCUGAGCCCUCCCAUUUUCUCUUAAAUUGUGCUAUCACCUAAACAAAAAAACAGAAUAAAAUGGCCACACAGAGACCCUGUGGAAAAAACAUC